AAACUUGUAGUAUAAAACAAUACGGUAAACUGCAACUUUACUGAGGCCAUAGGCCAAGUUUU
rnacentral:tRNA from 1 species